rnacentral:rRNA from 1 species
GACGAACGCUGGCGGCGUGCUUAACACAUGCAAGUCGAACGAUGAAGCUAGAGCUUGCUCUGGUGAAUUAGUGGCGAACGGGUGAGUAACACGUGAGUAACCUGCCCCGAACUCUGGGAUAACUGCUGGAAACGGUAGCUAAUACUGGAUACGACCUACGAAGGCAUCUUCUGUAGGUGGAAGGAAUUUCGGUUCGGGAUGGACUCGCGGCCUAUCAGCUUGUUGGUGAGGUAAUGGUUCACCAAGGCGACGACGGGUAGCCGGACUGAGAGGGUGACCGGCCACACUGGGACUGAGAUACGGCCCAGACUCCUACGGGAGGCAGGAGUGGGGAAUAUUGCACAAUGGGCGCAAGCCUGAUGCAGCGACGCCGCGUGAGGGAUGACGGCCUUCGGGUUGUAAACCUCUUUCAGCACCGACGAAGCGCAAGUGACGGUAGGUGCAGAAUAAGGACCUGCUAACUACGUGCCAGCCGCCGCAGUAA